rnacentral:tRNA from 1 species
AGGAGGGUAAGUUAAAUCAAACUGCUUGACUCAUGAUUAAGUUAUAUAGCUCUGCUAUUCCUCCUA